rnacentral:misc_RNA from 1 species
CUGUUCGAGCGUCAUUUCAACUCUCAAGCGCUGCUUGGUAUUGGGUGUCACUACCUAAAGUGCGCCUUAAAAUUAGUGGCGGUGCGUCUGGCUCUAAGCGUAGUAAUACUUCUCGCUAUAGGGUCCAGUCGUUUACCCGCCAGAACCCCCAACUUUCUUAGGUUGACCUCGGAUCAGGUAGGGAUACCCGCUGAACUUAA